rnacentral:rRNA from 1 species
ACGAACGCUGGCGGCGUGCUUAACACAUGCAAGUCGAACGGGUCUGCCCUGUUUUUUGCGGGGUGGGUCAGUGGCGAACGGGUGAGUAACACGUGAGUAACCUGCCCCUCACUUCUGGAUAACCGCUUGAAAGGGUGGCUAAUACGGGGUGUUCUGGCUGUGCCGCAUGGUUUGGCUGGGAAAGAUUCACUUUUGUGGUGUUUUGGUGGGGGAUGGGCUCGCGGCCUAUCAGCUUGUUGGUGGGGUGAUGGCCUGCCAAGGCUUUGACGGGUAGCCGGCCUGAGAGGGUGGGCGGUCACGCAGGGACUGAGAUACGGCCCAGACUCCUGCGGGAGGCAGCAGUGGGGGGUAUUGCACAAUGGGCGGAAGCCUGAUGCAGCGACGUCGCGUGAGGGAUGGAGGCCUUCGGGUUGUGAACCUCUUUCGCCGGUGAAGAAGGUCCUGCUCUUUGUGGUGGGGUGGACGGUAGCCGGGUUAUGAAGCGCCGGCUAACUACGUG